UAAAGGGAAGCCGGGUUUUCUCGUUGGAUUAUUUCCUCCCGAGCUUCUGGUACGCUAUAGCGGUAGACGCUGGCUGUUGGUUAAAUUACUGAGGCGAUCAGGUCGUGCGAUUGCUACAGCCGUGGUGAGGAGACGCGUGAGUGCAUCCGCCGUGCAGUACAGCGCCUCCAAGUUCUGGGCGAACUGAGGAUCUACCAGCGGCCGUGGGACCUUAGGUGGCGGGUCGUUUUCCACACUUCUUUUGUUGUACAGCACCAGGUGAAUAGACUAUAGUAGGU